GCCCAUAUCGCAUAAUGGUAUUGCACCGGAUUGCUAAUCCGGACCCUUCGGGGUGCCCAGGUUCGAUUCCUGGUGUGGGCG
rnacentral:tRNA from 1 species